CCUUACACCCAGGCCGGUGGGCCAGGGCUCGGGAUGUGUCGGGCUGCUGGAGUCCAAAGUCAGGCAUUUCCCUGCCUCUGCCCGGUAGAAGAAGAGUGCCUCUAAGCAGAAACGAAGGGGAAGUGCACCUGUGCUACCAGCAGACACCUUGCUAGACCCUUCAGACAUCUUCCUUAAUCCUCACAACCAGCGUGAAAGAGACGUGGCAUCCCCAUUCUACAAGUGAGGGUUCCGAUUCGGAGGGUUUGACUUGCUGAAGGCCACAAAGCUAGUAAAUGGUAAAGUCAACACUGGCAAUCUUUGAGGACUGUUCGCCUGACUCAUCACCAGGCUGCCGCUCAGUAAAAGCCAAGGCACAGUCACCUUUAACAAAAUGUACAGAUUGCAGGCCAGAUUUAUGGGACCUCCUGUAGAUUGAGGCAAUGGAUUAAGUGUACUUUAUACUUCUCAGGUACAUAUUAGCAACCAGACGCUCCCAUAUUCCCUCUGUGUCUCUCCUGGAAAACCACUGAUAAAGAACAAUAAUAAAAUUUAUUCUAAGCCA